rnacentral:rRNA from 1 species
AUUGAACGCUGGCGGCAUGCUUUACACAUGCAAGUCGAACGGCAGCGCGGGCUUCGGCCUGGCGGCGAGUGGCGAACGGGUGAGUAAUGCAUCGGAACGUGCCCAGUAGUGGGGGAUAGCCCGGCGAAAGCCGGAUUAAUACCGCAUACGACCUGAGGGUGAAAGCGGGGGACCGAAAGGCCUCGCGCUAUUGGAGCGGCCGAUGUCGGAUUAGCUAGUUGGUGGGGUAAAGGCUUACCAAGGCGACGAUCCGUAGCUGGUCUGAGAGGACGACCAGCCACACUGGGACUGAGACACGGCCCAGACUCCGACGGGAGGCAGCAGUGGGGAAUUUUGGACAAUGGGGGCAACCCUGAUCCAGCCAUGCCGCGUGCGGGAAGAAGGCCUUCGGGUUGUAAACCGCUUUUGUUCGGGAAGAAAUCCUCUGGGCUAAUACCCCGGGGGGAUGACGGUACCGGAAGAAUAAGCACCGGCUAACUACGU